GUCGCCUGCCCAAUGAUCUCCGCAUGAAAAAAAUUAUAAUAAAAGUUAAAAAAAAAGAUUAAAUGGCUGCAGUAACUAUGACUGUAUGAAUGUAGCGUAAUUGCUCGCCACUUAAUUAGUGGAUAGUAUGAAUGGCUAAACGAAAAUCUCUCUGUCUUAUAAAAUAAUAAAAAAAUUAAAAUAAUAGUUAAGAUUCUAUUUAAAAUUGUAAGACGAAAAGACCCUAUAAAGCUUAACUACAACCUUUCUUAUCCGAUUUAAAAAAAAUUAAUUACUAAAAAGGUAGAUAGUUUCAUUGGGGAGAUGAUCUCUAAAAAUAAACAGAGAUUAACUAUAUUAAUAAAAAAAUUUACUGUUUAACUUAUUCGUUUAACAGUUAUAAAAUAGGUUAUAAUGACCCAUUAAAAAAUUUAAAAGCUAUUUAAUGACCAAAAAAUAAAAGCUACUUUAGGGAUAACAGGACAAUCUUGUCAAAGAGUCCUUAUCGAAGACAAGGUUUAUCACCUCGAUGUUGAAUUGAGAUCACCUAAUGGUGCAGA
rnacentral:rRNA from 1 species